rnacentral:rRNA from 1 species
GAUGAACGCUGGCGGCGUGCUUAACACAUGCAAGUCGAACGGAAAGGCCCAAGCUUGCUUGGGUUCUCGAGUGGCGAACGGGUGAGUAACACGUGGGUGAACUGCCCUGCACUUCGGGAUAAGCCUGGGGAAAUGGGUCUCAUAUUGGAUAGGAUCUAUUCUUGGACGUUGUUGUGGAGAGAUUUUUGGGUGUGGGAUGAGUUGGCGGCCUAUCCGCUUGUUAGGGGGGUAAUGGCCUACCAAGGCGUUGACGGGUAGCCGGCCAGUGAGAGUGUACGGCGGCAUUGGGACUUAGGGAAGGCCCAGGCUGCGACGGGUGGCAGAUGUGGGGAAGAUUGCACAAGGGGCGCAAGCCGGAUGCAGCGAGGCCGCGGGGGGGAUGACGGUGUUCGGGGUGAAAACCCCAUUCGCAAGGGACGAAGCGUUUUGUGACGGUACCUGGAGAAGAAGCACCGGCUAACUACGUG